rnacentral:miRNA from 1 species
UGCUUCCUUUCUCAGCUGAACCCCUGCCUCUGGAGCUUCCGGCAGUGCCCUCUGAGGUGGAGCUGCAGC